ACUGGUGGUCCUAGCGGAGGAAUUCCACCCGAUCCCAUUCCGAACUCGGCCGUUAAAGCCUCCAGCGCCCAUGGUACUGCGGCCCAAGCCGCGGGAGAGUAGGUCGCUGCCAGUC
rnacentral:rRNA from 1 species